GAGCUGACUGACGUAUAAAAAAAAUGAUGGGCCAAAAAACUGUCAACACGUUCAAACAAGUGCCCACAUUAGCCAAACUUCCUUACGUAAAGAGACAAUUUAAUAAGGCGUCUAAUUAAACAGUUUCACAGUUUUCCUGCACAUGAACAAUGAUUGCACAUUUCACGUGUCUUCUAGCAGCUUGUUUCUUGUCCUGUCCGUUUAAACGUAAGGAUGUUACAAUACUAGAACUAUAUGCAGAUCACAUUUUUUGCAAAGAUUAUACAGGAAUCCAAUCCAAUAGAGAUUACUCAAAUUGCAAUUGCAGGUCAUUUUAAGGAUUACGUUAUACGGUAUGGAACUGGGACACACCUUUCAUUGACAUCCUCUGGUUGACGGCAGCAUUGUAAUAAAGUUGUACUGAACAUGACACACACUCUUGUUCCAAAAAACAAAACAAAACCCCCAGACAGAUGGUUGCUGUUGUUUACUCUUGUCUUUUACUUCUGCUGCUUCGGAACAGUCUAGGAAUGAUGCGACAAUGAGAGAGACGAUGACUAUUACUGUACAUGUUUGGUUGUUUUUAUUAUUCAAGUGAUUUAUUUAUUCAUUGUUAAGGUCAGACUGUGUUUCUUCAUAGUUUAUUUACCCAACGCAUUGUUUUCUUUGCUAUUUUCAAGCAUAUACUUCAUGUUUUGACUGAUUUUAUAGGUUUUUGUAGCAAAACUUUUUUUAAUAUAGUAGUGCUUUUUCACCAUUUCGUGUCAUGUCUUUUGCCCUUCACAUGUUCAUAUAAAUUUGUUUUGUGGAUUCAGUUGUUUAUUCAUGUUAUUUAUAUUUGUUCCUUUUAUUUAUUUUUAUCACCAUUUCAACUCAACAGGAUUUAAGGGAAACUGUGUUUCUCUGUGAGGCAUUAUGAAUGUAAUUUAAAAGGCCAUAUUGGGAUAAGCUACAGUAUUCCUUUGCACUUAAAUUAUUGUUGAACAUAUCCUGUUAUUGCUGUAGUGCUCAGUAGUGAAUUUCUAUUUUUUUGAUGAUGAUGAUGAUGUCCCCCCCCAAAAAAAUACAGUAUUACCCAUGCAAUGUGUCCACCAGUGUGUAUAUAUAUUAGCAUCAAUCGCACAGUUUAUUAAAUUAAAGAAUGAUCAUGCACCGUGUGUGAUGAAUCAGAUUGUAUUUUGCAUAUUCAGCCUUUUAAUUCAAGAAAUUGUUCUAUCCCUGAAUCCAGUGUAGUGUAAAUAUAACGGCAGAUGUCACUGUAUGAGUGUUUUUUUGUGAAUCUACAAUGGAUGUUGUUGUUCAUUCUCCAGUUGUGAGCUAAAAUAACUGUACACAUAAAUAUCGUGUGACUGUGUGCGAGGGUACUCAUGCAUAUUCCAAGCAACUGCUGUCGUUUCAAUAAAAGGAACAUUUUUGUAAAGUU